CAUUCAGUAGCCUCAGCUACUUGUUUAUACCCUUGUCUUUUUGCGUACUUAUCGUUUCCUCGGCGGGCUUGCCUGCCGGUUGGACAAACUUAUAACCUUUUUAAAUCUUCAAUCAGCGUCUGAAUAUAUACAUAAUAAUUA
rnacentral:misc_RNA from 1 species